GUGCUCACUUCAGCAGCACAUAUACUAAAAUUGGAAUGAUACAGAGAAGAUUAGCUUGGCCCCUGUGCAAAGAUGACAUGCAAAUUCAUGAAGCAUUCCAUAUUUUU
rnacentral:snRNA from 1 species